rnacentral:lncRNA from 1 species
UUCAGUAAGAUUAAGAAGAACAAUAAUAUUUCUCUAUAUCUUGAACAAUAACAUCAUUUGCAGUACAUUUGCUCAAACAGCCAAUUAGCAGAAGAGCAGUAACAUCUCUCUAUAUCAUGAGUUCUACUCAUGGUAUUAUAAAUAUCUCGACUUGUAUGGCUUGACUGGUAAACUAUACAUAUGCUUUCUAUUUAUUUGCCUGACAGAAUGCCCAUCAGAUGAAUAAAUCAAAUAGGAGGAACUGGGGGUAUUUCAAACUGAAACAAAGAAUCGAUCCUAGCUACAUGAAUUGCAGUAGCUUUAAAGCUUCUGAUUAUUUUGCUGCUACUCCACCAGGAAAGUGCACGGCUUCAAGAACCAAAACACGCCACUGGAGCUCUCUUCGGCCUCAUAAGCCCUGUUGUUGUUCAUAUCUUUAACCCCAAAAGGUUGCCUCUUAGCUUCUCUGCUGUUCUCCUGAUCCUUAUUAGGCGUCAUCUUAUCCUGAAGAAAAGGAGUAGAUAUCAACAUUAGUUUAAAUGCAUGGUUAGCGUGUGUUGAGAUGCUAUUUUUGGAUUCACAGCACUAAUAGAAGAUCAAUAGGUUAUCUGUCACUAUAACAGUAAAUGAUGAACCGUAUGAUUAGCGCCACUAAUUUGCAGGAAAAAAAA